rnacentral:rRNA from 1 species
GAACCGUCCAAACGUUAUUCGGUAUCACUGGGCUUAAAGCGUGCGUAGGCGGCUUGGUAGGUGAGAUGUGAAAGCCCACGGGCCCAACCGUGGAAUUGCGUUUCAAACCCCCAAGCUUGAGGAAGAUAGGGGUGAUGGGAACUUAUGGUGGAGCGGUGAAAUGCGUUGAUAUCAUAGGGAACACCGGUGGCGAAAGCGCAUCACUGGAUCUUUUCUGACGCUGAGGCACGAAAGCUAGGGUAGCGAACGGGAUUAGAUACCCCAGUAGUCCUAGCCGUAAACGAUGAGCACUGGGUUGAGGGGACUUCCACAUCCUCUCGGCCGUAGCGAAAGCGUUAAGUGCUCCGCCUGGGGAGUAUGGUCGCAAGGCUG